rnacentral:rRNA from 1 species
CCGGCGGGGGACAACAGUCCGAAAGGAUUGCUAAUACCGCGUACGUCAGCGAGGUCUACGGAUCUUGUUGGGAAAGAUGGCCUCUCCUUGGAAGCUGUCACCGGAAGAUGAGCCCGCGGCCCAUCAGCUAGUUGGUGAGGUAAUGGCUCACCAAGGCAUAGACGGGUAGCUGGUCUGAGAGGAUGAUCAGCCACACUGGAACUGAGACACGGUCCAG